rnacentral:lncRNA from 1 species
GGAUCUGGUUCUGAUGAAUCUCAUGGUCAAAGGCGCAUAAAUUUUCAACUCGAAUGGAGACAACACAUUGUUGGCCAAAGUCCUCAAGAAGAACUUGUGAAGGUUCACUUUGAUUACAUGAAUGACGUUGAACAUUAUGUUCUUCAUGAUCCCGACAACAUCUUCUUCAUUACCAUGUGCUUGGAUAGGUGCGAAGGAAUAUGCCAACAUCAUGUAGACUGUUCUGGGCACAUACUUUAAUUCCUUCACCAGGAAUCUAGUCCUUGGAGGUUGGUGAUACGUCUCCAACGUAUCUAUAAUUUUUGAUGGUUUCAUGCUAUUAUCUUGUCGGAUGUUUUGUAUACCUUUUAUAUAUUUUUUGGGACUAACUUAUUAAC